GACGAACGCUGGCGGCGUGCUUAACACAUGCAAGUCGAACGGAAAGGCCCUGCUUUUGUGGGGUGCUCGAGUGGCGUACGGGUGAGUAACACGUGAGUAACCUGCCCUUGACUUUGGGAUAACUUCAGGAAACUGGGGCUAAUACCGGAUAGGAGCUCCUGCUGCAUGGUGGGGGUUGGAAAGUUUCGGCGGUUGGGGAUGGACUCGCGGCUUAUCAGCUUGUUGGUGGGGUAGUGGCUUACCAAGGCUUUGACGGGUAGCCGGCCUGAGAGGGUGACCGGCCACAUUGGGACUGAGAUACGGCCCAGACUCCUACGGGAGGCAGCAGUGGGGAAUAUUGCACAAUGGGCGGAAGCCUGAUGCAGCAACGCCGCGUGCGGGAUGAAGGCCUUCGGGUUGUAAACCGCUUUCGCCUGUGACGAAGCGUGAGUGACGGUAAUGGGUAAAGAAGCACCGGCUAACUACGUG
rnacentral:rRNA from 1 species